UUUGUAACAUUAAUUUUUUUUUAUUAAGAAGACAGAUAUUUUAUAGUACUUCUUUUCCUUUGUAAAAAUGGUAUACAUGAACCAAUACAAAAUGUGAAUGGGAGCAGAUGGAUAUGUAUUUUCUUACAUUGUAACAUCUUCCAUGGACACCUUAAAACAGAACUGGCCUAAGGGGAAAAAAUAAAAAGGCCGGGUGAAUAAAGAACAAGGUUGUUUAUCAUCAGUUCCACGUCCUUCAUUUGUAAUACUCCUUUAAACAAGGUUGUUCUUUCUUCACGCUUCAAAAUCCUAAUGAUCUAAAGCUGUACAAAGUAAUACUCAACAAUACAUUUCAAACAGUGCACUGUAUACUGAAGAAAAAAUACAUAAACCAAUAUACAACUAAAAUUCGUAAUUUCCUGUUUUUUUAUCCUGUUUUUAAGUUGUUUUUUUUUUUUUUUUCCAAUGUGUGGGGCCGAAAUUUUGCAAUCUACCUGAGACGGAAAACACCAAUCAAAACACAUGAACCUGAGACAUGUCAACAUUGUAAGUCAAAGUUACAUCGGUAACACUGCACUACGGUACACUUCCAAAACAAAAUGGGCUGCUCAACCCAGGCUGCCGAUCCCGCACCCGCGACGGCUGAAAACGCCCCCCCCCGGCCCCCAACCUCCCGACGGCUUCUCACCACGAUGGGGUUUGGCAACGGUGCUGAAGGCUCAGAAAAGAGCUGCGCUCGACAAAAUCUGCUCGGAAAAAAAAGGGUAUUCCUGCCAGGUUCUUCUCGUGACAAGGGGAAAGACAGAGCGGUGCUGGCGGAUGGGCUCGCUCUGCCGCCACCAUCCCGCUCCCAACGGGCUCCCGCACUGUAAUGGUUCUGCCGAAAACAACAACUAAGAAGAAAAAAAAAAACCACACGAAAACGCUCCCCCCGAAAUCCCUAAAAAAAACCCCCAAACCUGACGCUAAGAUUAAUGCUUCCCUUAAAUAAAUCAGCAUACAUCUUCCACAGAAACACAGUAAAAAAAAAAGCAUCGCUCGAAAUCCAAGAUUACUCACCAAAAAAAAAUUCAGCAUAUAUAACUUCAAUGCCGUCUGCUCACUGCGGUCCGCUACCUGCCACGUACGAUUCUAAUUUAGCUAGACUCUCCUUUGCACCUAUGGCUUUGUAAGUCAGUUAGCACUGUCGUUUUAACGCAAAUUCCCACGUUUUACUUAGCGGGUACAAAAAAAGGCAGUUUCGCUCGUCCGGGCCUCGGCUGUAGCGCGCAGGGGGUGGGGGGGAGGCGUCUGACCCACCGCAUCCCGCGGCAGCAGAAGCUG